CGGAGGGUGCAAGCGUUAUCCGGAUUCACUGGGUUUAAAGGGUGCGUAGGUGGGCUAGUAAGUCCGUGGUGAAAUCUCCAAGCUUAACUUGGAAACUGCCGUGGAUACUAUUAGUCUUGAAUAUUGUGGAGGUAAGCGGAAUAUGUCAUGUAGCGGUGAAAUGCUUAGAUAUGACAUAGAACACCGAUAGCGAAGGCAGCUUGCUACACAAUUAUUGACACUGAGGCACGAAAGCGUGGGGAUCAAACAGGAUUAGAUACCCUGGUAGUCCACGCCCUAAACGAUGGAUACUCGACAUACGCGAUACACAGUGUGUGUCUGAGCGAAAGCAUUAAGUAUCCCACCUGGGAAGUACGACCGCAAGGUUG
rnacentral:rRNA from 1 species